CAUACAUACAUGCAUACAUACAUACAUACAUACAAGACAUACAAGACGCAUGCAAUGCAACAAGCCAGCAGGCAAAUUGAUCAUGGAGCUUAAUUAAUUAGCUUGCACAACAAAAUGAUGGAUGUAGUAUUGACAUGAUGACGCCUGUAUGUAGCUAGUAUGAAUGGGAUUCGUUCGAUGCAUGGAUCCAUCAUCAGUAGACUUCGACGUUCCAUUGCUCGCCCUUCUUGAGCUUCUUCUUGUACUCAAACCAGUCGAUCCCGUCCUUCGCUGCGAGGUCGGUCAUGAUUUCGUCGAUGCCCUUCUCCAUGCCCUUGAGCCCGCACAUGUAGACGUAGGUGUUGUCCUUCUUGAGAAGCUCCCACAGCUCCUCCUUGUACUCCGCCAUCCGCGUCUGGAUGUACAUCUUCUCCCCGGCCGCGUUCGUCUGCUCCCGGCUCACCGCAAAGUCCAGCCGGAAGUUGUGCGGAGCAAUCUCCUUCAUCUUCUCCAGCUCCUCCUUGUACAGCAGGGUGUCGCUUGUCGGAACUCCCAAGAACAGCCAAGCAAGCCCGGUGUACUGCAUAUACGGAUAUCAGUAUGUUCAUUCAUUGGAACAUAUGGUUGGUUCAUAUGGUUGGAGCACCAACUAACCUUGUAGUCGUCGUGCUCCUCGAAGAAC
rnacentral:lncRNA from 1 species